GACGAACGCUGGCGGCGUGCUUAAUACAUGCAAGUCGAGCGAGGUUACUGUUUCGGAUCCCUUCGGGGUGAAGAAGCUUUAACCUAGCGGCGGACGGGUGAGUAACGCGUGGGUAACCUACCCCAAAGUCCGGGAUAACAGCGGGAAACCGCUGCUAAUACCGGAUGCCUUUACCUUGGGGCAUCUUGAGGUAAAGAAAGGUAACGCUUUGGGAUGGGCCCGCGUCCCAUUAGCUAGUUGGUGAGGUAACGGCUCACCAAGGCGACGAUGGGUAGCCGGCCUGAGAGGGUGGACGGCCACACUGGGACUGAGACACGGCCCAGACUCCUACGGGAGGCAGCAGUAGGGAAUAUUGCGCAAUGGACGGAAGUCUGACGCAGCGACGCCGCGUGAGCGAUGAAGGUCUUCGGAUCGUAAAGCUCUGUCCUUGGGGAAGAAGGCGAAAGCUUGACGGUACCCAAGAAGAAAGCCCCGGCUAACUACGUGCCAGCAGCCGACGGUAAAAGUAGCGUACCU
rnacentral:rRNA from 1 species